AAAAUCAAAUAGUCCUCUGCCAAUAUUUAUUAUAAAUAUCUACCGACAGUCUGGCAUUGAGAAAAAUAACGAGAAAAUGAUGAGAAUGACAGCUAUAGCUAUGGUGUUCAUCGUCCUUUUAUCGGCCAAUAUGGACACUGUUGGCGUCGCAGCUCAAGGCGUUAAUUGCUAUGACUCUUGUAACACCGCCUGCGUUGGUCUCCCAACGAGAGAGUACUUGCGUUGUGAUGGAAAGUGUCAGAUCAGGUGCGGACCAGAUGGCAAAAUUGAUAGAAACUUGGGUUGAAAGUGCUAAAAGUACUAGCAAGCUAUCGAGGCUUAUAUUGUAGAGAGUUCCACAAUAAUAAUUGUUAUCUUUGAUAAUAAUCUCUUUAUGGUUUGGGAAACUAAACGUUACGUUUACGUGUAUGUUUAAUUACUACUAAUAAUAGAUGCAUUGUGUAAUGAUGAAA